UGGGAAAGCUGGAUUAAGAUUUAUGAGCCUCUCAAAGCUCUGUUCCAUGGUUCUACCUCUCACCUGCUAAGACCUGACGCAUUGUUUUGAAAGGACUCGAUUUUGCAGCAUGGAAUCAACUGUGCUGUGCGGUGGCACAAAUGUUAUUUGCCUCUUCUUCAGCCAGCAGGAAAUCCCUGGAGAGGGUGCUUGUUCUCCAUGUCUCAUCGACUCUGGUAAACUUUCUCACUUCACAAAGAGAACAUAAGCUUCGUCUAAACUGACUAUCACGAGAGGAAGAAAAUAAUAAUUUUUACAUAGCAAGAACACAAGAUUUCAAGGUAAUUUCUACAUUAGUGAAUAUGUAUUGUCAGUUAGACUUGCUGUAAACAUUUCUGAAAUGAAUUCA
rnacentral:lncRNA from 1 species